rnacentral:misc_RNA from 1 species
GAUGAAGAACGCAGCGAAAUGCGAUAAGUAAUGUGAAUUGCAGAAUUCAGUGAAUCAUCGAAUCUUUGAACGCACAUUGCGCCCAUUAGUAUUCUAUUGGGCAUGCCUGUUCGAGCGUCAUUUCAACCCUCAAGCACUGCUUGGUGUUGGGGCUCUACGUUGUUGUAGGCCCUCAAAUGCAGUGGCGGACUCGCUAUGGUUCCGAGUGCAGUAACUUCUCUCGCUCUGGAUGCCUGGUGGGUGCUAGCCAUGAAACCCCUUUUUAUCGUGGUUGACCUCGGAUCAGGUAGGAAUACCCGCUGAACUUAAGCAUAUCAAUAAGCGGAGGAA